UCGAUUUGGAGUUUGUUGCCUUGAGUGAUGGGCUCCGAAGCUAACGCGAUAAAUCGACCGCCUGGGGAGUACGGCCGCAAGGUUAAAGCUCAAAUGAAUUGACGGGGGCCCGCACAAGCGGUGGAGCAUGUGGUUUAAUUCGAUGCAACGCGAAGAACCUUACCUGGUCUUGACAUCCACAGAAUCUUGCAGAGAUGCGAGAGUGCCUUCGGGAACUGUGAGACAGGUGCUGCAUGGCUGUCGUCAGCUCGUGUUGUGAAAUGUUGGGUUAAGUCCCGCAACGAGCGCAACCCUUAUCCUUUGUUGCCAGCGGUUCGGCCGGGAACUCAAAGGAGACUGCCGUUGAUAAAGCGGAGGAAGGUGGGGACGACGUCAAGUCAUCAUGGCCCUUACGACCAGGGCUACACACGUGCUACAAUGGCGUAUACAAAGGGAGGCGACCUCGCGAGAGCAAGCGGACCUCACAAAGUACGUCUAAGUCCGGAUUGGAGUCUGCAACUCGACUCCAUGAAGUCGGAAUCGCUAGUAAUCGUGAAUCAGAAUGUCACGGUGAAUACGUUCCCGGGUCU
rnacentral:rRNA from 1 species